rnacentral:rRNA from 1 species
UGAAACUGCGAAUGGCUCAUUAAAUCAGUUAUAGUUUAUUUGAUAGUACCUUUACCUGGAUAACCGUGGUAAUUCUAGAGCUAAUACAUGCUAAAAACCUCGACUUCGGAAGGGGUGUAUUUAUUAGAUAAAAAACCAAUGCCCUUCGGGGCUCCUUGGUGAUUCAUGAUAACUUAACGAAUCGCAUGGCCUUGCGCCGGCGAUGGUUCAUUCAAAUUUCUGCUCUAUCAACUUUCGAUGGUAGGAUAGUGGCCUACCAUGGUCUCAACGGGUAACGGGGAAUUAGGGUUCUAUUCCGGAGAGGGAGCCUGAGAAACGGCUACCACAUCCAAGGAAGGCAGCAGGCGCGCAAAUUACCCAAUCCCAAUACGGGGAGGUAGUGACAAUAAAUACUG